AGCUGCCCCCCCCUCCCUUCAGCACCGACACAUGACGGCAGCAGCGAGCGGCUUCCGGAGCCGCUCCGCCCCCCCCACCUCCACCACCUGCAGUACCGCCGUUCGGACACACGGUGGCAGCACACGCUCCCUUUUUCGGUGCCGCAGGGGAAAUGGGAGUUUAAGGAGUAGAAAGAGGAAAGAAGUAAGUAGUAUAAUUUAAAAGGGCCACCUCUUUGCUUCAGUCUGUUAACUCAUUUUUCCCUUCUUCUCCCUUUUAGGCACGAUGUGUCAAAGGACUUUGAAAUAAACAUAGAAGUUUACAGUUUGAGAAAAGAAGUUCUGAGCACUGAUAAAAGGAAAGAGGCAAAUAAAUCUAAGGUGAUUACUCCAAAGAGAUUAUUAACAUCCAUUACCUCUGUAAGUAUGAAUGUAAUACUGUAACAAGACAUGGUUAUGACCUCUUCCCAAGGCCAUAUUCUCACCCUGAAAAAGGCUGUGCCCAUAGCAGGCUCUUGUAUCUCUUAGAACUCUGUAACUGUCCAGCUUUCUGCAAAAUUCUUCAGCCAUCAGCUCAAGAAAUAGGUAACAUUGUGGAGACAGUGUUCUUACAGGAGAAUGGAUAUUUGGUACAUGAGCUCUGAAUAACUCCGAGGGAUACAGCAGGG